rfam:Dipodomys ordii contig_46018, whole genome shotgun sequence.
GGGAAUGUAGCUCAGUGGUAGAGUGCUUGCCUAGCAUGCAGGAGGCCCUGGGUUCCAUUCUUCAGUACCA